rnacentral:tRNA from 1 species
AUUUAUUUAGUUUAAAAAAAACCUCGGUUUGUGAAACCGAAAAUGGAAUAUACAAGGAAUUCCAAUAAAUA